rnacentral:ncRNA from 1 species
CCACCGAAAAAUUAAAAGGGAAUCAGGUGAAAAUCCUGAGCUUUUCCUGAAGCUGUGAGUCUUAGUAGCAGUUUUUAGCCUCUUUAAAACCACUGUCUCGCGCCUAGCGAGAUGGGAAGGUGCUAAAAAUGAGACGAGCCAGAAGACCUGCCGGGACACUU